GACGAACGCUGGCGGCGUGCUUAACACAUGCAAGUCAAACGAAGUGGCGAACGGGUGAGUAACGAGUAAUCAACCUGCCCUUCAGAGGGGGACAACAGUUGGAAACGACUGCUAAUACCGCAUACUGAGGGAGGGGAUUGCGUUGGAUUAGCUAGUUGGAGGGGUAACGGCCCAACAAGGCGAUGAUCAGUAGCCGGUUCGGGAGGAUGAACCGCCACCUUGGGACUGAGACCCGGCCCAGACUUCGUCGGGAGGCCGCAGUGGGGAAUCUUCCGCAAUGGACGAAAGUCUGACGGAGCAACGCCGCGUGAGUGAUGACGGCCUGCGGGUUGUAAAGCUCUGUUAAUCGGGACGCGGUACCGGAAUAGAAAGCCACGGCUAACUACGUGCCAGCAGCCGCGGUAAUUC
rnacentral:rRNA from 1 species